AGUGAACGCUGGCGGUAGGCCUAACACAUGCAAGUCGAACGGCAGCACAGUAAGAGCUUGCUCUUACGGGUGGCGAGUGGCGGACGGGUGAGGAAUACAUCGGAAUCUACUUUUUCGUGGGGGAUAACGUAGGGAAACUUACGCUAAUACCGCAUACGACCUACGGGUGAAAGCAGGGGAUCUUCGGACCUUGCGCGAUUGAAUGAGCCGAUGUCGGAUUAGCUAGUUGGCGGGGUAAAGGCCCACCAAGGCGACGAUCCGUAGCUGGUCUGAGGGGAUGACCCCCCACACGGGACUUAGAGUACGGCCCAGCCUCCAUGGGGGGGCGAGAGUGGGGAAUUUGGAACAUUGGGCCAAAGCCUGUUCCGGCCCACCCGGGGGGGUAAAAAGGCCCUUCGGGUUGUAAAGCCUUUUUUUUGGGAAAAAAAAGAGGCGGGUUAAUACCCCGCUUUUCUGACGUAACCAAAGAAUAAAGCCCCGGCUACUUUCGG
rnacentral:rRNA from 1 species